GUGUCAGACAUUUAUUAUAGCUUCUGUUUAUUCCCAGAACUGGGUCAGAAUAGGCAGUGUCAGUGUAAAGCUUUCCCACCCUGUACUGGGAAGAUGUCUUAACCCUGAUUUAUAAGGAGGGUGAGAAGGUAAUUCAGUCUCCAUGAACAUAGCAGUGUUGCC
rnacentral:sRNA from 1 species